GACGAACGCUGGCGGCGUGCUUAACACAUGCAAGUCGAACGAGGGCCCGGAGCUUGCUCCGGAGACCCGAGUGGCGAACGGGUGAGUAACACGUGACCAACCUGUCCUAGGGUGAGGGACAACCCGGGGAAACCUGGGCUAAUACCGCAUGAUGUCUCGUCAUCGCAUGUUGAUGAGAUCAAAGAGAGCCUCUGCUUGCAUGCUCUCGCCCAAGGAGGGGGUCGCGACGUAUCAGCUUGUUGGUGGGGUAACGGCCUACCAAGGCUACGACGCGUAGCGGAUCUGAGAGGAUGAUCCGUCACAUUGGGACUGAGAUACGGCCCAG
rnacentral:rRNA from 1 species